rnacentral:misc_RNA from 1 species
GAUGAAGAACGUAGCGAAAUGCGAUACUUGGUGUGAAUUGCAGAAUCCCGUGAACCAUCGACUCUUUGAACGCAAGUUGCGCCCGAAGCCAUUAGGCCGAGGGCACGCCUGCCUGGGCGUCACACGUCGUUGCCCCCCCAUCUACUCCUUCGGGAUUGCGGGGGGCGGAUGAUGGCCUCCCGUGCGCCUCGUCGCGCGGUUGGCAUAAAUACCAAGUCCUCGGCGACGCACGCCACGACAAUCGGUGGUUGCGAAACCUCGGUUGCCCGUCGUGUGCGGUCGUCGCGCAUCGAGGGCUCGAAAAAAUUGCCGGGCUCCGGCUCGGCUUUCAACGCGACCCCAGGUCAGGCGGGGUUACCCGCUGAAUUUAAGCAUAUCAAUAAGCGGAGGA